rnacentral:tRNA from 1 species
GGGCCUGUAGCUCAGCCUGGUAGAGCAUCGGAUGUAUCCAGGCCUUUUAAGCCGGGUGUCGCGGGUUCGAAUCCCGUCGGGCCCA